rnacentral:rRNA from 1 species
GGUUGAUCCCGCCGGACCCACUGCUAUCGGGAUAGGACUAAGACAUGCUAGUCGAGUGGCUCAGCCAAUACGAGCCACGGCAUACAGCUCAGUAACACGUGGCUAAUCUGCCCUUAGGACGAGAACAACCCCGGGAGACUGGGGCUAACUCUCGAUAGGCGAAGAACUCUGGAAUGAGUCUUCACCUAAAUAGUUCAGCGUUACGCUCGUUGAACCGCCUAAGGAUGAGGCCGCGACCGAUCAGGUUGUUGGUGAGGUAAUGGCUCACCAAGCCUUUUACCGGUGCGGGCCGUGAGAGCGGGAGCCCGGAGAUGGGCACUGAGACAAGGGCCCAGGCCCUACGGGGCGCAGCAGUCGCGAAAACUUUGCAAUACACGAAAGUGUGACAGGGCUAUCCCGAGUGCCAUCCGCUGAGGAAGGCUUUUACCCAGUCUAAAAGCUGGGGGAAUAAGGAGAGGGCAAGUCUGGUGUCAGCGCCGCUGGUAAUACCAGCUCUCCGAGUGGUGUGGAUGUUUAUUGGGCCUAAAGCAUCCGUAGCUGGCUAGUUAGUCCCUUGUUUAAAUCCACCGAAUUAAUCGUUGGAUUGNGGGGGGAUAUGGUUGGUAGGGGAC